CUCUGCAGAUCCCGACUCCAGCCUGAGCCUGAGCCUGCCCCUGCCACUCGACGUGCCCUCCCUGCUCUCCCAUCCGUCCUUCCUCAUCACCACUGGAUCCAGCACUGGCUACAGCAUGAUCCCCUCUCCACCAUCCUACAACAAACUCCUGCUUCCCCACCACCCCAUCCCCGCCACACACAGGGAUGACCCAACACCCUCCACCUCUACCAGCUACCCCUCACCGCUGGCCACCUCCUACACCAGGAUUGCACCUCUUGGCCAAAGUGGGCCUGCGCCUGAUGCCUCCAGCAGCCUGACACCCUCCUCAUGUCACGGUUGCAGCGGCGUCGGCCUCGUGCUGUUCGGCGCAGGGCUUGUGAGCACAGCCUUGUUGCAAACCCUGCUGGAAGAAGCUGGCUGCUGCCUGCUCUACGUGGUGGAGGAUCAGCUGGAGGAGGUGGAACGAGCCUUUGGUGCCAAGGUCCCGGCUGGCACCAGGGUGCUGCGGCAGCAGGAGGCCACCAUCGCACUCAGUGAUCCACGAGUUUCUGGAGCCGUUAUUUGUUCCCCACCUGACAGAGCCCCUGAGAUGGUAAGAGAUGCCUUACGAGCAGGUGAGAGGAGCAGCUGCACAUUCAGCUUUUCCCUGUGCCCAUUGGUGUGCACUUGUGAGUGUGUUUGUGUUUCAGCAGCAGCCCUGGAGCUGUGCAGGCUCUCAAAUUGUGUAAUUAGUGACUGAGAUCCCUGCUGUUGUUAAUGGCCGGACACCAGUGGGGUUUGUGCUAUGCUGGUCCCAGUAUGACUGGGCAGUCCCACUCCUGGGACAGCUGAAACCACAGCAGACAGGCAGAAGGGGGUAAAUGCCAUCAAAACCAGAAAUGUAAUGAGCUGUUACUGCAAGAUCAAGGUGUUUUGUGCAGCUGUGUCUCCCCUGAGCCCUGUGUGUGUCCUGUUUUGCACAGGUAAAGGUGUGUUCUGUGAGGGGCUGCCCAGCUUGGACAGACAGACAGCAGAAGCCUGUUUUGAUGAGGCCGACAGGUGUGGGAGGCCACUCGUGUGUGGGUUCUACAAGCGCUUUGACCCAGCCCUGCAGUUCCUGUACAAGAAGGUUCGGGACAGCCGGGCCCUGGGCAGCAUCCACAGGAUAUCAACCAUCAGCAGCCUCUAUCCUGCAGCCUCUCUGAGCCUGCUGAAAGCCUCAGGUGGAAUUUUUUACAAUGCUGCCGUGCAUGACAUAGAUAUUAUCAGUUUGCUGUUGGGAGAGAGUGUGCCAGAUACAAUAUUUUCCCUGGGCCAUGCCUUCUGUGCAGACAUGGGCUGCCUGAGGGAUGUGGACACGGUCACCAUCAGCAUGAAGUUCCCCAGCGGAGCCAUUGUCACCCUGGACAUCAGCCAGCACUGCACCAGGAGCUGUGACCAGCGGCUGGAGGUUCAUGGGUCUCAAGGGACCUUAAGGGUGGACAACCAGAACCCCCUGGGCAUCACAGAGCAUGGGACUUCUGUGUCCAUCUGUCCCCAGACACAAGCUGAGCGCUACAGAGAUGCCUACAGGGAGCUCUUUAGGCACUUCCUGAGAACCCUGAAAGGCCAGGAGCCCCCCGUGGUCACCAAGGAGCAGUUCCUCUGGACCAUCCAGGUGGCUGCAGCAGCUGAGCAGUCCUGGAGGAGCAGAUCUGCUGUGGACUUGCACAGCAGUGCCACGGAUCCACCUGGGGUCAAGGCUGAGCUUGUGUGACAGCCACUCCCACCCAGUGGCUCAACAGAAGCCUGGAUGGUGGCUUUGGUGUUCCCACUGGGAAUGCCCAGCAGACAGAGGCACUGCUGAACGAGGAGCACUUGGUGCUGGGGCAGGGCAGGGUUCCUACCAUGUCAGCCAGAGCCUGCAAGAAAUUCUCUGUGGUUUCAUCCAGGUGGCCACAGAGCUCUGUUUUCCUGGGAGAAGAGGGAUGCUCCUCGGGCCAGGCAGGGUGGUGUAAUACCAGCAGUAGCUGGGAUGAGAGAGAAGUCUCCCCUUGGAGAAAGAACAGCCACUGCCUGCCUGGAGGAGUAGUCACAAGCAGGUGCCUUCCCAGCAGUGGCACAAGGGAGGUUAUUGAAUGCUCAAAAAACCACAGGAGCAUCUGUGAGUAUGUUUAGAGUGGAUAUAUGGAAGAGAUUCUUCCCUUUGAGGGUGGUGAGGGGCUGGAAUGAAUUCCCCAGAGCAGCUGUGGCUGCCCCAUCCCUGGAAGUGUUCAAGGCCAGCCUGGACAGGGCUUGGAGCACCCUGGGAUAGUGGAAGGUGUUGGGGUGGGAUGGGAUGAACUUUAAGGUUCCUUCCAAACAAACCAGUCUGGGUUCCAUGAUCCUGUUUGGGACACAGACAGCAGAAGGCAGAACCACAGGCCAGGCAGUGUCUGCCAGGAGCUUUGGACCUUUGCCAUGUGUGUGGAGCUUUCUGAAGAUGUGUGGCUCUGACUGUUCCUGUCUGGCUGUCACGUGCCAGUUUUCAAGAUCUUUUGAAACCUUUUUUUUUUGUAUUUUUAUUGAAUUACAACAACAUUCUAGACUUCUUCCAUUCCAAGGCAUUAGUUUAUAAACUUCUUGCAAGAAUCAAUUUCCAUUUCCUGUCUGUGGAAUAUAUACUCCUAAAACUAGAAUAAUGUGUUCUUUUUGGGAAAUUGUUUUUAACAGUGUCAUUUUUCAAGCUCAGAAAAACUGUGUCUUAAUGCUUGUUCUCCAUUCCAUUCACUAUUUUUUAGCCAUUUAUUAAAAAAAAGUUUUAUGUGUCCAGAAACUGUUUUUUGCCUCUCUGUACUUGCUGUAGCAGAUUAGUACACAAUGGUGGGUUUCUUUUUUGUUUCAAUAGCUUUAGGUCCUUUGAGGUCCUACAGUUGAAGGUUUACUCUGGGUUAAGAGGGCACUUUCUGUCCAGUUUUAAUUUCCAAAUCCAAGAAUUCCCACAUGUGCUUUUAUUGUGUUACAAAAACAAACCAACAAAAAAAUAACCCAAAACAAAACAAAGAGUAACCACAGCUAUAAAAAUAACACAUUUUCCAAAGAUAACAUUACAAAAAAUACAAUUCCUAUCACAGAGUGAUCCAUUAAUACUGCUGGGAACAGCCCCGGGAACGCUGGAAAUGUGAGUGGUUGUUGCAAAAGCUUUAAAGCAAUAAAGUGCUUUACUGAGCCGUUUCCUGGGGACA
rnacentral:lncRNA from 1 species